GGGAAACUGGGUCUAAUACCGGAUAUGAACUCCUGCCGCAUGGUGGGGGUUGGAAAGUUUUUCGGUGCAGGAUGAGCCCGCGGCCUAUCAGCUUGUUGGUGGGGUAAUGGCCUACCAAGGCGACGACGGGUAGCCGGCCUGAGAGGGUGAUCGGCCACACUGGGACUGAGACACGGCCCAGACUCCUACGGGAGGCAGCAGUGGGGAAUAUUGCACAAUGGGCGAAAGCCUGAUGCAGCGACGCCGCGUGGGGGAUGACGGUCUUCGGAUUGUAAACCCCUUUCAGUAGGGACGAAGCGCAAGUGACGGUACCUGCAGAAGAAGCACCGGCUAACUACGUGCCAGCAGCCGCGGUAAUACGUAGGGUGCGAGCGUUGUCCGGAAUUACUGGGCGUAAAGAGCUCGUAGGCGGUUUGUCACGUCGUCUGUGAAAUCCCUCGGCUUAACCGGGGGCGUGCAGGCGAUACGGGCAGACUUGAGUACUACAGGGGAGACUGGAAUUCCUGGUGUAGCGGUGAAAUGCGCAGAUAUCAGGAGGAACAC
rnacentral:rRNA from 1 species